rnacentral:rRNA from 1 species
GGAGUUAGCCGGUGCUUCUUCUGUGAGUGAUGUCCUUCCUGCCGGCUAUUAACCCGCAGGCCUUCUUCCUCACUGAAAGUGCUUUACAACCCGAAGGCCUUCUUCACACACGCGGCAUGGCUGGAUCAGGGUUGCCCCCAUUGUCCAAUAUUCCCCACUGCUGCCUCCCGUAGGAGUCUGGGCCGUGUCUCAGUCCCAGUGUGGCUGAUCAUCCUCUCAGACCAGCUACGGAUCGUCGCCUUGGUGAGCCGUUACCUCACCAACCAGCUAAUCCGACAUAGGCUCAUCCGAUAGCGCGAGGCCCGAAGGUCCCCCGCUUUCCCCCGUAGGGCGUAUGCGGUAUUAGGCUGGGUUUCCCCAGGUUAUCCCCCACUACCGGGCAGAUUCCUAUGCAUUACUCACCCGUCCGCCGCUCGCCACCAGGGAGCAAGCUCCCCGUGCUGCCGCUCGACUUGCAUGUGUUAGGCCUGCCGCCAGCGUUCAAUCUGAGCCAGGAUCAAACUCUGA